CACGUAGGGCGCAAGCGUUGUCCGGAAUUAUUGGGCGUAAAGAGCUCGUAGGUGGUUUGUUACGUCUGCUGUGAAAUCCUAGGGCUUAACCCUGGGCUUGCAGUGGAUACGGGCAGACUAGAGGUAGGUAGGGGGAGAAUGGAAUUCCUGGUGUAGCGGUGAAAUGCGCAGAUAUCAGGAGGAACACCGGUGGCGAAGGCGGGUCUCUGGAACGCAACUGACGCUGAGACGCGAAAGCGUGGGGAGCAAACAGG
rnacentral:rRNA from 1 species